rnacentral:rRNA from 1 species
CUGUAAGCCUGUGAAGGUGUGUCGUGAGGCAUGCUGGAGGUAUCAGAAGUGCGAAUGCUGACAUAAGUAACGAUAAAGCGGGUGAAAAGCCCGCUCGCCGGAAGACCAAGGGUUCCUGUCCAACGUUAAUCGGGGCAGGGUGAGUCGACCCCUAAGGCGAGGCCGAAAGGCGUAGUCGAUGGGAAACGGGUUAAUAUUCCCGUACUUGGUGUUACUGCGAAGGGGGGACGGAGAAGGCUAUGUUGGCCGGGCGACGGUUGUCCCGGUUUAAGCGUGUAGGUGUGUGUUCCAGGUAAAUCCGGUUCACUUUAACACUGAGGCGUGACGACGAGGCACUACGGUGCUGAAGCAACAAAUGCCCUGCUUCCAGGAAAAGCCUCUAAGCAUCAGGUAACAUCAAAUCGUACCCCAAACCGACACAGGUGGUCAGGUAGAGAAUACCAAGGCGCUUGAGAGAACUCGGGUGAAGGAACUAGGCAAAAUGGUGCCGUAACUUCGGGAGAAGGCACGCUGACACGUAGGUGAAGUGAUUUACUCAUGGAGCUGAAGUCAGUCGAAGAUACCAGCUGGCUGCAACUGUUUAUUAAAAACACAGCAC